CUUAGCAGAGAUGCUUUGGUGCCUUCGGGAACUCUGAGACAGGUGCUGCAUGGCUGUCGUCAGCUCGUGUUGUGAAAUGUUGGGUUAAGUCCCGCAACGAGCCGCAACCCCUAUCCUUUGUUGCCAGCGAUUCGGUCGGGAACUCAAAGGAGACUGCCGGUGAUAAACCGGAGGAAGGUGGGGAUGACGUCAAGUCAUCAUGGCCCUUACGAGUAGGGCUACACACGUGCUACAAUGGCGCAUACAAAGAGAAGCGACCUCGCGAGAGCAAGCGGACCUCAUAAAGUGCGUCGUAGUCCGGAUUGGAGUCUGCAACUCGACUCCAUGAAGUCGGAAUCGCUAGUAAUCGUAGAUCAGAAUGCUACGGUGAAUACGUUCCCGGGCCUUGUACACACCGCCCGUCACACCAUGGGAGUGGGUUGCAAAAGAAGUAGAUAGCUUAACCUUCGGGAGGGCGUUUACCACUUUGUGAUUCAUGACUGGGGUGAAGUCGUAACAAGGUAAGCGUAGCGAG
rnacentral:rRNA from 1 species